ACUGGCACCAUUACAAUUCUCCUCCACUUUGAACCACCGUCAAAAAGCACACCGUUACUGGUAAUCCACCUCAGCUCCACCUCUUCCUCCCUCAGCCGUGAAAGCGACUGCGAACAAAAUAUCUCUAAUGUGCAAUGUCACAAAAUUCAUAAUCGGCUCAAUUCUAUAUCUCGAUCCAUUUUCUUCUUCAAAUGAUUAAGCUUUUUGCGAUUUAUAUCAAUUUUGGGAAUCGGGCGUGAUCUUAUGUUUAUCGGGAACCAGUCGAUUUGGCUCUAAAAUACCAGCUAGUUUCCCGUUGAGCCACUGGAAUCCAACCGCGGUUUUUUUGUGGUGGCGCCGGGUCAAUUGUCUGAGAUUUUGAUGAUUCAGCUUUAGUGGAUAUGCAAAAGUUAGUGAUAUGAAUAGGGAAGAGUUGGGAAAUAUCAUGACAGUGAGGACAAAACCAGCAGCUUUAGUGGUUGGCAUAAGCAAUGGUCAUCAGGAAAAUGAAGGAGAAUCUAAGAUGGAACCACAUGUGGGAUUAGAAUUCAAUACAGCUGAAGAAGCACAGGAGUUUUAUAGUAUGUAUGCAACUCAGGUGGGUUUUAAAAUAAGGAUAGGACAGCUGUAUAGAUCAAGAGUUGACGGCUCUGUUAUUUCCCGGAGAUUUGUGUGCUCAAAGGAGGGAUUUCAGACAAACUCCAGAACUGGUUGUCCUGCUUUCAUAAGAGUGCAAAAGGUGGAUUCUGGGAAGUGGGUUGUUGCCAAUAUAAAGAAGGAACAUAACCAUGAAGUUGAAGCCUCAGGAGAAAUAUGUCCUUCUCGGAUACAGAGGAAAAGUUUUCCGACUCCAAGAUCAUCAACAGGUGGGGCUAGUCGGACAGGAAUUAGAUCACAUGAAGAUGAUAGUCCAUCUGCUGUGGUAGAUAUUAAGCGUCUUAAAAAGGAAGAGAUGGACGCAGUUAAUGGACCCUCAGGUGAACCUUCUAAGGGUCUUGAGUUUAAUUCUGCCAAUGAUGCGUAUAAAUUUUACUAUGCAUAUGCAACUAACAUGGGGUUCAGAAUUAGGAUAGGUCAAUUAUUUCGCUCUAAACAUGAUGGCUCGAUUACAUCUCGAAGAUUUGUGUGCUCCAAGGAAGGGCAUCAGCACCCUUCUAGAGUUGGUUGUGGAGCAUACAUGAGAAUACAAAGACAUGAAUCGGGAAGGUGGGUAGUUGAUCGUCUUCAGAAGGAACACAAUCAUGCACUUGGCAGUCCAUUGGAUCCUAAUAGAACAGUUAAUGGUACGCCAAAGGGGUGCAGAGAGGAAGGUAGUAGUGUGUUGGAGAAUUUGGAUUUGGUUGAAACAAAUGGAGGCCUCAGCCUAGUCAAGCGAGGCAGAGAGAGUAGGAUUGAUAAUGAUUGGUAUAGUGUGCUACUUGAGUAUUUUCAAUCUCGGCAAGCUGAAGAAACAGGGUUUUUUUAUGCGGUGGACAUGCGGGAGGGUAAAGGCAUGAACCUUUUCUGGGCUGAUGCACGAUCUAGAUUUUCAUGUGCUCAAUUUGGGGAUGCAAUCGUGUUUGAUACAACAUACAGGAGAGGUAGUCAUUCCGUGCCAUUUGCUUCAUUUGUUGGUAUCAAUCAUCAUAGGCAACCAGUACUGCUUGGUUGUGCUCUAAUUGCUGACGAAUCUGAGGAGUCAUUUACUUGGAUCUUUCAGGCUUGGGUUAGGGCAAUGUCAGGUUGUCGUCCUGUAUCUAUAAUAGCUGAUCAGGACAGAGUCAUUCAACAUUCAAUCGCACAAGUUUUCCCCGGGACACAUCAUCGAUUUUCAGCAUGGCAAAUUCUUGCGAAGGAACAAGAGAAUUUGGGUGCAUUACUUUCCAUGGAUGCUGAGUUCAAAUAUGAGUAUGAAGCUUGCAUUUUUCAGAGUCAAACAGCUAGUGAAUUUGAUUUCUCUUGGAAUAUGCUUAUGGACAAAUAUAACUUGUCCGAUAAUGCAUGGUUUAAGGAGAUGUAUCAAAUGCGUAAAAGUUGGGUUCCUUUGCACAUAAAAGGAACAUUCUUUGCGGGAAUCCCUGUAGAUGGGAGCUUAAAGUCGUACUUCAGUACAUUUUUGACCGCCCAAACACCUCUCAAUGAAUUUAUAGUGCGGUAUGAGAAAGCUUUGGAAAAGCGCUAUGAAGAGGAAAGGAAGGAGGAUUAUAACUCAUUUAAUAUGCAAGUGGUCUUGCACACUAAAGAUCCCAUUGAGGAACAAUGUAGAAGGCUAUACACAAUUACAAUGUUCAAAGCGUUCCAAAAGGAGCUUUUGGAUUGCUACAAUUAUGUUGGGACCAAGAUUAAUGUGGAAGGUGCAAUCAGUAGAUAUCUGGUGCAAAACUGUGGAAAUGGGGAUGAGAGGAACACAGUUGCCUUUAAUGCAUCAAACUUGAAUAUCAGUUGCAGUUGUAAAAUGUUUGAGUUUGAAGGCGUACUUUGUAGACACACAUUGAAGGUCUUCCAAAUAAUGAACAUAAGGGAGCUUCCAUCUCGCUAUAUCUUACACCGGUGGACUAAAAAUGCAAAAUUUGGCAUAAUGCGGGACUCUGAUUCAUUAGGUGGUUCCCAAAACUUUAAGGCCUUGAUGUUGUGGAGUUUAAGGGAAGAAGCUCGUAACUAUAUUGAAGCAGGAACAGCAUCCUUGGAAAGAUACAAGCUUGCAUUUGAGAUCAUGCAGGAGGGUAGAAGAAAUUUCUGUUGGCAGAACUAGAAACAUAACUCAAAACGCAGGUUAGAAAUGUCUCUUCGUUCAGUUUCAGCUAUGUAAUUAUUUAGAAUCAUUUCCCUUUAUCUGUAAACAUAUAUUAGAGCUGAAAAUCUUGGCUCCGAUUCUAUUUUUUAAUCGGUCAAGCUGUGCUUGAAUCAAACUGUUCUCUAACAAGAUGAUGAUAUGUGCAUAUGUUUCACAUUAUUGUACAAGAAUUUGCAUUUUCAUCAUUGAAUAUCAUGUGGGUUUCACCGUCUCCAUAAUAGUGAUCUUGCCAAGAACCCAUACCUUCUUCCCCAUUGCAAUUCAUCCCUUCUUCUCCAUCUUCAGCAUCUUGAUCCUCAUUCACCACAAGCUCUACUUUCUUCCCCGUCUUCUUCUUCAGUUUCUUCAAUACUUUCUCCGGAUUGAUCCUUCCUAUCACCACCACCCUGUCAUUCGCCAUGUCAGUCAUUAACGUCUCCACACCUGUUCCACCAUGCCAGCCACAUAUCAGAACCAGCCUAGAGAUAAAGGGGAAUGAUGAAACCUUUGAGUUUGGAAAUGGCUUUGGCAACUCUUCUUUCACAGGCAUUACAAUGCAUAGGAACCUUGAAUUCUGCCUCCACAACCUGUUGAUUUGAAUUGUCCCAGAAUUCAUUUUGUCACUUUUAUUACAGAACCAUACAUCCAAAAUUUCUAAAUCACAUGUAUAUAUGUAUUUUUGUAUGUAUGUAUCUUACUUCGUCUGCUUUCUUCAUUUGGUCAGCCAUUGAGAAAUUCUUGGAAUUGAAGAAGAAAGAAAUGAAUGAUUAUAGGCAGGAAUCUAGUGGAAGUUCUAGAUGGAUAUUUUUUUUUCUUUCUCUCUUUACUUUUUUGGGAGGGGGAAUACAGUUAUUUCAGUUAUUUAGAUGGCCCAUCAAAUAUUGUUGUGAAUUAAUUUUUUGUGUUGUGAGUGUGCAUUUAUUUCUUUGAUAUUAA